AAAUAGAACCCAAGGACUGGAAUGCUGGUAUAAUGUGUUCCAUAGAGAAGAGGCAGCCUAUGCUUACAGCUACUAAUUGAUGGACCACAGACUGGAUACAGGCCUGCAGACAAGGGUCUUUGGAUGAAAAUCCAGGAAUUAUCACAAGAUUUUAGAACCGGGAGACACUAGCCAGGCCCAGUGGUCCAAAUCUGUAAACCCAGGUACUCUGGAAGCUGAGUCAGGAGGAUCGCAAGUUUAAGCCUCGUCUGUGCUAUAGGCCUGUCCAUGCUCCCUGUGGAACCUCUGGAUCACUUUCCUACGGUGCUGUGAAUGCAACAGCUCUGCUGCCACUGGGACACUCACACUACGGUUUCUCACAA